UUCUCCCUACGGGAGGCAGCAGUAGGGAAUUUUCGUCAAUGGGCGCAAGCCUGAACGAGCAAUGCCGCGUGAACGAGGAAGGUCUUCGGAUCGUAAAGUUCUGUUGAAGGGGAAAAAGAGCGGAGAGAGGAAAUGGUCUCCGAUUGAUAUUACCCUUCGAGGAAGUCACGGCUAACUACGUGCCAGCAGCCGCGGUAAUACGGAGGAUCCGAGCGUUAUCCGGAUUUAUUGGGUUUAAAGGGAGCGUAGGUGGACAGUUAAGUCAGUUGUGAAAGUUUGCGGCUCAACCGU
rnacentral:rRNA from 1 species